AGGCCGUGUUCACACCAAACCGACUGUGAGCCGCCGAAUGUGAGCAGGCUCACUGUGAGCCCCAGUGUGAACGAAAAAGUGAAUAUGUAUGGAAAUACAAUAAACUGCGCAACGUUCGCUCACAUUC